rnacentral:misc_RNA from 1 species
GAUGAAGAACGUAGCGAAAUGCGAUAAGUAAUGUGAAUUGCAGAAUUCAGUGAAUCAUCGAAUCUUUGAACGCACAUUGCGCCCCCUGGCAUUCCGGGGGGCAUGCCUGUCCGGGCGUCAUUUCUGCCCUCCAGCCCGGCUGGGUGUUGGGCGCUGUCCCCCCGGGGACACGCCCCAAAGGCAGUGGCGGCGCCGCGUCGGGUCCUCGAGCGUAUGGGGCUUUGUCACCCGCUCGGGACGGACUCGUCGGCGCUGGUCUUCCUCCAGGCGACCCUUCGGGGCUCGUCUUCCUUCGGUUGACCUCGGAUCAGGUAGGGUUACCCGCUGAACUUAAGCAUAUCAAUAAGCGGAGGA